CCUACGUGAGGCAGCAGUGAGGAAUAUUGGUCAAUGGACGAAAGUCUGAACCAGCCAAGUAGCGUGAAGGACGACUGCCUUAGGGGGUGUAAACUUCUUUGUGCGGGAAUAAAAAUUUUCACGUGUGGGAAUUUGUAUGUACCAUAUGAAUAAGGAACGGUUAACUCCGUGCCAGCAGCCGCGGUAAUACGGAGGGUUCGAGCGUUAUCCGGAUUUAUUUGGUUUAAAGGGAGCGUAGGUGGUUUGUUAAGUCAGUUGUGAAAGUUUGCGGAUCAACCGUAAAAUUGCAGUUGAAACUGGCAGUCUUGAGUACAGUAGAGGUGGGCGGAAUUCGUGGUGUAGCGGUGAAAUGCUUAGAUAUCACGAAGAACUCCGAUUGCGAAGGCAGUUCACUGGACUGCAACUGACACUGAGGCUCGAAAGUGUGGGUAUCAAACAGGAUUAGAUACCCUAGUAGUC
rnacentral:rRNA from 1 species